GGUAAAAUGGCUGAAUGAUUAGGCAAUAAACUGUAAAUUUAUUUAUGAAAAAUUGAUUUCUUUUACCA
rnacentral:tRNA from 1 species